GCGGGCGGCGGCGGGCGAGCCGGCGCAGGAGCAGGAGGAGGGGGAGCCGCGCCGCCAGGGAGGGAAGCCGGGGCGAGGCGAGGAGGUGGCGGGAGGAGGAGACAGCGGGGAAAGGUGUCAGAUAAAGGAGGGCUCUCCUCCGGUUUGGAGUCAUCAUGGCCGCUAAGUCAGACGGGAGGCUGAAAAUGAAGAAGAGCAGCGACGUGGCGUUCACCCCGCUGCAGAACUCGGACCACUCGGGCUCCGUGCAGGGGUUGGCUCCGGGCUUGCCGUCGGGGUCGGGAGCCGAGGACGAGGAGGCGGCCGGGGGCGGCUGCUGCCCGGACGGCGGCGGCUGCUCGCGCUGCUGCUGCUGCUGCGCUGGGAGCGGCGGCUCGGGCGGCGGCUCCGGGGGCUUGGGCGGCCCGGGCGGCGGCGUUGGCGGCCCGGGCAGCAGCGGGGCGGGCUCGGCGGCGCUGUGCCUGCGCCUGGGCAGGGAGCAGCGGCGCUACUCGCUGUGGGACUGCCUCUGGAUCCUGGCCGCGGUGGCCGUGUACUUCGCGGACGUGGGCACGGACAUCUGGCUUGCCGUGGACUACUACUUGCGCGGCCAGCGCUGGUGGUUCGGGCUCACGCUCUUCUUCGUGGUGCUCGGCUCGCUCUCCGUGCAAGUGUUCAGCUUCCGCUGGUUUGUGCACGAUUUCAGCACCGAGGACAGCGCCACGACCGCAACUGCCUCCACACAGCCUGGAGCCGAUUGCAAGACGGUGGCCAGCAGUGGGUCUGCAGCCGCGGAAGGCGAGGCUCGUCCUUCCACGCCGCAAAGGCAAGCAUCCAACGCCAGUAAGAGCAACAUCGCCGCCACCAACAGCGGCAGCAACAGUAGCGGGGCCACCCGGGCCAGCGGCAAACACAGGUCUGCGUCCUGCUCCUUCUGCAUCUGGCUCCUGCAGUCACUCAUCCACAUCUUGCAGCUCGGGCAAAUCUGGAGAUAUUUCCACACCAUCUACUUAGGCAUUCGAAGUCGACAGAGUGGGGAGAAUGACCGGUGGAGGUUUUACUGGAAAAUGGUGUAUGAGUAUGCAGAUGUGAGUAUGCUGCACUUGCUAGCCACCUUUCUGGAAAGUGCGCCACAGCUGGUCCUGCAGCUCUGCAUUAUCGUACAGACUCAUAGCUUACAAGCCCUCCAAGGUUUCACAGCAGCAGCCUCCCUUGUGUCUUUGGCUUGGGCCUUGGCCUCCUACCAGAAGGCCCUCCGGGACUCUCGAGAUGACAAGAAGCCUAUCAGCUACAUGGCGGUUGUCAUCCAGUUCUGCUGGCACUUCUUUACCAUUGCCGCCAGAGUCAUCACCUUCGCCCUCUUUGCCUCGGUUUUCCAGCUGUACUUUGGGAUCUUCAUCGUCCUCCACUGGUGCAUCAUGACCUUCUGGAUCGUCCACUGUGAGACAGAAUUCUGCAUCACCAAAUGGGAAGAGAUUGUGUUCGAUAUGGUGGUGGGGAUCAUCUACAUCUUCAGCUGGUUCAACGUCAAGGAAGGCAGGACACGCUGCAGGCUCUUCAUUUACUAUUUUGUGAUCCUAUUGGAAAAUACAGCCUUGAGUGCCCUCUGGUACCUCUACAAGGCUCCCCAGAUUGCAGAUGCAUUUGCCAUCCCAGCGCUGUGUGUGGUAUUCAGCAGCUUUUUAACUGGCGUCGUUUUUAUGCUGAUGUACUAUGCCUUCUUUCACCCCAAUGGACCCCGAUUCGGGCAGUCACCAAGUUGUGCUUGUGAGGACCCAGUCGCUGCCUUCACUCUGCCUCCAGAAGUGGCCACGAGCACACUCCGGUCCAUCUCCAACAACCGCAGCGUCGCCAGCGACCGCGACCAGAAAUUCGCAGAGCGGGAUGGGUGCGUACCUGUCUUUCAGGUGAGGCCCACUGCCCCCUCCACACCAUCCUCUCGCCCACCCCGGAUUGAAGAAUCUGUCAUUAAAAUUGACCUGUUCAGGAAUAGGUACCCGGCGUGGGAGAGACACGUUUUGGACCGAAGCCUUCGAAAGGCCAUUCUAGCCUUUGAAUGUUCCCCGUCUCCUCCAAGGCUGCAGUACAAAGAUGAUGCCCUUAUUCAGGAGCGGUUGGAGUAUGAAACCACUUUAUAAAAUAGAAGGCCUCGGAGGAGCCACAACCUCCAGUGAAGGGGUAACAGCAGGGCCGUGGCAAUAAUGAAACUGUCCUAGAAUAGGGCAACGGGCUGUAAUGUGCUUCGUCGGACCCUCCGUCAGCUGACCGCCUGCUGCUGGCCUCCUUUCAAAAGAGCAGCUGAAGGGAAAGAACCGAACCGAACCGUGCCUGCUCAGUAGGACUCCUUGUUGCUACCAGCCCCUCCUGCCCACUUUUAGCGUGUCCACCAGAGGGUACUAUGAGCACGGAAAACAUUGCCUCCAAUCAAUAGGGUGUUUUGAUGGAGUUAACUGAUCUUUGCAUAAAAAUAUACUCAAUCACAUACACACAUACACACACACACAUACACACACAUGCUAACACACACGGCACCAGUCCUCUGUCAAAAUAGCUUAGAUGAUUUCUUUUCUAGAUGCAAAGCUCUGAUUCUGAAUAUAAAAACAAAGAGAGAGAGAAUAUAUCCUUCAAGACUCCAGAAAAAAACAAAACAAAACAAAAAAUAGUACUACUUAGAAAAGAAUUUCAUAGACCAUUCUCAUUUGGAAACCACUACCAUGCGUUCAAAUCCCACCACGGACAGCAAACUCAACUGUCGUUUACAUAUGUAUUCAAAUCAAUGGAAUGGUUCAUUUUCAACACAUUUCAGGAUUUGUUUUUUAUUUUAAAUUUCAGUCGAGAACAUCCUUUCUGACAGAAAUCCUAUGCAGCACAUCUAUGGUUUUCGACAAGACCAAGGAGCUCAGUGAUUUCAUGAUGUAAAUUAAAUGAAAAUCAUGGUUCAGUAUUCAGUUGCAAAAAUUUAAUAAGUACAUGAAGAGGAAGCAGGGAAACAAGGCAAAAACGAGCAUCUGACUUCCCAGCCUGCCGCAGUUCACCGGGGCAGGGAGGUGCAGAGCGGCAGGAGAGAAACAUGCUGAACUGGGUGUUUCGAGACACAGAAAAGCGUGGCUCUGUGUGACGGCUACGGAGCAUGCCAUGCCACACCCUCCUAGUGCCAAACAGCAUCCAACCACAGGACUGACGUGGAAGUCCCAAACACCGGAGAACGAGCGGCAUGAGCCCCCCAAACGUGGACGUGAGAGCAUACCAUCACAUUCCCCAUUGUGUACAGACUAACCCCCCCAAUCCAAGGUCAAAGUGAUGUGUCUUUUAGAGGCUUUGGGACACUUUUUAGUAAGUAUAAGCAGACAAUGCAGUGAAUAUGCUAUGAGAAAACCUUCCAAAUUGAUUGAGGGCUUAUCACUAGAUCCAGCUAAGAUUUGUAUUUGAACCAUUUGUACAGUCGCACUCUUACAACAAACUUCUGGGUUUUAAAUACCUCCGUACAGCAAGUAAACGUUCCCUGCUUUCUGUUCCCAGUGUCCUCGGUCAUGGUGCUUUUUGUUGCAUUAAAAGUGCCGGUCAAACUUUGAUAGUAUUUUUUUAUAGUUGGUGCAGAGUGGAAUAACUCAUGGAUUAUUUCAAUAUUUUUGUAAUAAAAAUAUAGGGUAUACAUAUAGGCAUCAUCACUUUUUUUAUAGACCUGGAAUUGUUUAAAAUACUUUAAGCAUCAUAAUUACUUGGGAUGUCAGAAACUGAUCCACAAAUUUCGUCAGCCUGCCUCAGCACAUUAAGAACGCUUGUGUCUUACAAGAUCACCCAAUUUUGCAAUGUUGGUGCCCCCAGGAACCUGGCCAGGGGUGCUAUCAGAAUAUCAGGUGACAAGAGAAUCAGCUUAACUAGAAAGGGCUUGUCAAGACUGGCCAAUGUUUCCCAGGAUGUGAAAGCUAUAAAUGAUUACUUUCAUCCAUCCAUUCUCACAAAUCUGACCACAGUGGAAGAUGUCUUAAACUUCCUUCCCUGGUUUUAUAUUAACCCAACUUAUAUAUUAACUAUUAGUCAAGUCACUAAAAAAAAAAAAAAAAAAAAAAAAAUGAUGAGAGAGAGGGAGAGAAGAGAAAAAGUCCGUUUAGCUUAAUUAUUCGGUUAUUUGGACUGUACAAUCCACUUAAAUUAGUCAUGUUCAAUAGCCACCUGCUGUAGUGGGUACGUCAUAGAGACUGCUGUCCCCGUCACAUCCACAGGAAAUGGCAGAGGGCUCAACCUAUGACUUCCUUUGGUACAAAGCCCUAGAGCAAUAUUUUAAAAAUAGCUGUUUUUUGUUUUUUGUUUUUUUUUAUCAGUAGACAUAUUUUCCUAGUGCUCCAUGAUUUGAUCCUCCAAGCAAGAUUUCCACUAAAAAAUAAUAACCUCUUGUUCGGAUGUGAAAAGAUUACCUAGUCGCCAGUAGAGGCCCAGGAAGACGCUCUUCUUGUCAGCAAUUGGUGAAAACAUUGCACCCCCAUUGUAGAAGGAAAAAAAUUAUUAUAUUGGCAAAAAUUCUUCACUUUUGUGCAGGACCAUGAGUUAUUAGCUUCCUUAUUUCCAAGAAAACUUUUAAUUGAUGAUCUUUGGAAAUUGAAUGGCUCAGUUGAACUAUACCUUUGAUUCCAUGAGUAAAUACCAGAUUACAGAUAGAGUGAUCGAUCAACACAAACUCAGCAGGCCCCACCAUGCCUCAAUCAUAAACAUCUUGGAACUUGUCAAGCUUUACUGAAGGUGAUUUGCGUUAAUUAAUGCAACAGACCCUUUAAUCUUGCAAAUUCUUGACUUGUAAUAUUGUAGCCAAGCUACUGCGAGGGAAAAUUAAUCAGUUAGUGGGAAGGAGCCCUCGUUCUGUGCUGAGCUGUACCCAGGCCUGAAGAGAAAGACCUCUGUGAAGUAGAGCACUAAUGAAUUCGUGCUACCUGCUUCCUCAUCAUUCAUGCAAUGAAUAUUCAUCUACUUCAUUUGUUUUUGACAGUAAGCGCUGCUUUGAAAGAAAAAAAGUGUCAAUGGAUUCCUGGGGCUUGCAUAGCUCAGAGAAUAGGUACUGGGUCAUGGAGAAUCCUUAAAUGAAUACAAAUCUACUUGUUUGGAAAUGAAAAAAAAAAAAAAAAAGUCAUUGUUAUCUCUUUAAUGAUUGAUCUGAGUACCGUGGCUGCCCUCACUUGGUUUCUUGAGAGUACUGUUGUCAGCAUUGUAAUAACAAAUUUAUGAAAAUUGAAUCUGUAAUUCCAUUUCAGAGGUAAAAUCUGCACGGAUGUAACUGUUAAGUAAUUUGAUUCCCGCCUUCCUGCAAUUAACCUUCGACAAUUGGGUGGUGACAUUGCCGGUUUCAAACUGAGGUACCUAAGUUUACGGUAUUGGCCCUCCUGUUGUUUCUGAGUCCUGACCAAACAUCAGUUACAAACUCUGAGAUCAAGUAGAGAUUCUUAUUGCCUAAAUGUUCGUUUCAAAGUAAACUAAUAGUCUCAUAAUUUGAAAAAAUCAUGGUUCUUUCCCACUUGCUUCUCUGUUUUCCAAGAAAGAUUUGAGUUGCAAGAUAAGAAUGAAUAUACUUUCACAUCAUUGUCUCAGAGUUUGCAAGUAUCAGGCUUCCUUAUGUUUUUAUAAAGUUUCUGUCUAACCUUCUAGUAGAACAAUUUCAGGAGUGAACCCUAGAUCAAUGAGUGAAAGUCAUAAGGGUUAUCCAAAGAGCAACCUAGCAGAAAAAUUUUAGAAAAGAAGCAGGGAUCCUUUUUCUUGGGUUUCAAAGAUGUUUCUCCUUGCUAAGUGACCAUCUUAGUGAUUUGAGAGCUACUGAAUGGUAGUCCCAGUUAGAAGUGUCAGGAUUGUGCUGCAUACUCUAUUCUGUCAAAGUCAUUUUUCAGAACUAACUCUUGGCACCAGCACUGAAAUUUAAUGGCAAAAACUGGCCUACUACCAUGUAAUUUAUUUUCAAUUGCAAGGCAAUGAAAACUAAUAAGUUGAAGAAAAAUUUAAUUUCCUGAACUCCAAAGCCAAAAUGGGCACAAAGACACUCUGUAACAUACAAUGAGCUGGUUGACUGUGGGGACGCAGGGGCAAUAAACAAUCCUCUUAAGCACGGCUCAUGAGUGAGAGGCUAUAAGCUGUGUUGGGACAGAAGGUGAUUGAAGAGGAUGUCUACCAGUUGCUCAUCAGGAAUAUCUGCCUUUUUAUAGAGCAGAGGUUCAAAGUAGCCCCUGCCAUUCCCUAACUAUGAGGAUAGAUACAUCCAUAUAUGAAGGGCCAAGGCAGAAGACAGAGAAGAUAUCAGGGCCUUCAUGUCUGAGACUAACUCUGUCUUUAAGGAAACAGCUGUCCUUGGUCAUUGGCCCCUAUGCUGCUAGCUAGCUCUGCAUGCCAAGAACUUCUGAUGGACUACAAGAUGAGAUAUUUAAAGGUAUCGUAAGUAUUCUUGCUUGUAGAACAUGAACCACUGAAUUAGCCCUCCUUUUCAACAGCAACCAGAUUCAGGGUUACUAUGGCCUUACUCAUCAUCCCAUUGUAAAUAUAUCAUGACAUCAUGAUGGCCUCUGUGUUCAAAUUCACUAAACCAGGUUUACAUGUCCUAGGUCUGUGUAUCUAUCCCCAAUUUGGAAAAAAAUAAUUUUUUGAGAAUGAUCUUUAGAAUAAUGGAAGUGAAAAAAAAAAGUGGACAGUUGAGUAAUUUUUCACCAUCCUCGAAACCACUAGAGUGCUGAUAGCCCUAAAGCUCUGAUUUUUUUCUUUUUUCUCAUGAGUAAGUUUCUUUUUACUUAGGGCUUUCAACAUCUGAAUUUUCCAAAUGAUCGCUAAACCAUCUUCACUAAACUGAAGUAGACACUAUGGCAUUGUUAAAAAAUAAAGACUGUACACAUGAAAGCAAAUAUCCAAUGAAAAGUGAAGAAGUAAGUCACUCAAGCAGUAAAUUUGGUCUUUGUGACAUCAAACAUUUGAAUACUUAGGAAAAUCCAUGUGUUUGAAUGAUAGAAUUUUUCAUCUGGUUGUCUGGUGUUGUCUAGAUAGACAGAAAAUGCUCAGGUGUUGUAGGUAAUGAGAUUUAACUUUCUCGUGCAGUAAUCUAUUGCUGGUGAUAUUCUGCUGCUCAAAAUCUCUUUGUUGUGCAAAGAGGAAUAAAUAAUGCAGAGCAAAUGCUAUUUGAUUUUUAUUUACUUUUGGCAGACACGUGAAUGGAAAAGGUUUGGGAGGUUGUCCCAGGGGUAUUUAGAUGUGAUUAUGGCACAGACCUCCUUCAGAAAGACUGUUUUGGAGGCCUGCCACUCUGCUUCUUCCUGCCAAGGAAACUUUUUAUUCCGUUCCUUUCCAUCCUUUCUCAUUCUAUAAUUGCCUCCUGUUCUUCACAUAAUCUUCAUUGUUCCCAAAGUCUACUUGACAGAACUGUUCAAGAGAAAUACAAGUUUGUUAACUUUUUAUUCUUCAAAUAGGAAGUUUUCAUUUUAAGGAUUAUAUCUUUCAAGCAGAAAAAUAAUGUGAAUGACUCAAUGCAGUUAUUUUAUGGUGCAUGUUUUGGUGUUGAUAGAAGUAAAAGCGUUUUUUGGUUUUAUUGCUGUUGUUGUUGUUGUUGUUUGGUUUGUUGAUGUCCUUUUGAUUGUCAAGGACUCACUGGUUAUACAUAUUGGAACCUUAGUGUUUCCUUUGUAAUCAUGGAAAAGAGAAAAUGUCAUCAAAGGGAAGUUCACUUUCCGGAAAGAAGGAGGUUGCGAUAGUCACACGACUCUUGUAUUUGUGAUUAUCUGUGGACAUUUCUUCCUUGUUUCAUCUGAUUGGGCUCUGGAUUGGUGAGUGUAUUUCUUCAAAUCGUGUGCUUACCCCAUUUACUGUUCUGAAGCCGGAGAGAAACGCAGGCAAGUUCUUCAGACUGAUUUUAUUUUCUGUGAGCUUAUGCUGCAGAACUCACUCUGAGGCAUUAACUGUAAGCAGGCACACAGAAGGUAUGCAGCUAUGCAAAGGUCAUGAGAGGAUUUCCGGAGAAAAUCUAAAUAUUUGUUUUGUACAUUCUUAGGUAGUGUUUUGAUUGUGUCAAACUCUCCAUUUCAGUGCCAACUUAGAAUGACUUCAUGGGGUAAGUUGUCCUCAUCCUUGUUGGCUCCCUCCUCCCAUUAGUUGAAGAAGUUUCCCUGAAAUCAAAAUGGGUGCUCCACCUUGUGUAGCAAGGGCUUCCAGCCGCUAGGUGUCACUGCUCUGUGCUAACUGUGUUUCAUCAAUGCUCCUUUGGGUGCUCUUUGGAUGCUCCUUUGGACGGUUUGCUAGUCCCACACCUGUGAAAGCCUUCCAGGCCAAGAGAGCUGCUAGUUCCUGUCACAGAUGUACAUACCAACCUGAUUUGGCUCUGCUUUCCUUUUUCCUUGAGAUUUUUACUUCACUCAAUCCUCUUAGAAAUCUUUGUACCUUCAUGUUACCGACAGGAUAUUUAGUUCAAUGUUUCAGUCAGCUGGCAAUAAAGAGGGAACAAUCAGUUGGCAACUACAAAAACAUCAAGCACUUUGUUUCAGUUAUCUUUUAUUAUGUAGUAAUUGAAUAGAAUUAAUGGUUUAGUAGAAAGCUAAAAAUCCCUGUGUUGAAUAUAAUGACUUUUUAAAAUAUACUGAAAUAUAUUCUUUGAAGCAGUAUCCUUUUACACUAUGAAGUCUGUUCCUUUCUGGAGACAAGAACAUGGAGGGGCCCAGGUCCACCAGUGGAAACACAGGGGCCUGGAAGCUGAGUCACUGGAGUCUUCAUUCCUGGUUGGUCACUUCAGCCUCAGAAACUCCUCUUCAGCCUCUUUUGUUCCAUAUGUAAAAGAGAGAGAAUCUUUAUCUACCUACCUCAUAGUGGUGUUGUGAAGAUGAACUAAGUUGAUAAAGUGCUUUGACACUUGACAACUAGCAUCAGCACAAAGGAGGCCUGUGUGCAGCCCUGAAAAGGCUGUGGGGUGGGGGGGUGGAGACAGUCUAGCAACACGACAGCAAUAAGUCACCAAGGCAGAGAGUAUGAUUAUUCAUGGUCACUUCACAGAAGUGAAACCUUUUCUUCAAAGGUCUAUAGAGAACUUUUUUUUUUUUAAUUAUCAGCUUUUUAAUGAGAAAAAUGAACUCCUUUCAUACAAACAUUGAGAAGCUUCAUAUAGAAUGGCAAUUUUCCUCUUAGCCAAACUGCAUUUUGCUAAAUAUUUAUUAAAUAUAUCCAGAGGACUGGGCUCCUUCUGAUGCCUAAUCCCUGAUUCGCAUGCCUGAUCCCAACUUGCAUUUUCCAGAAUGCCUGCACAAUACCUGAGUUCAGGACUAAUGAUUGCCAAGGGGUGUUCUGGAAUCCGCUACCAGGAGGAAACAUUUUUAAUAGAUAUUAUUGGGAUUAGAUUUUGUUGUUUACGGUGACAUUCUUUUUCAUCCCUAAGAUGGUACAUCUCUCCCUUUGCAACCCAAUAAAAGAAUGUGAAGCCUUAUUUCUUCCUGGAACUUCUGAGUUGGUUUAUUUUCAGAUUAUAAAUAAAUUUUAAAAUUUUCAGAGAAGUGUUUACACAAGGGCUUCUAUAUAGUGAUUUACAAGUAUACUUACACAUGCAUAGAUCUGAGUGUACAACUAUAGAACAAAGGAGAUGGUGGGGAAACAACCAUAGGGAAAAUCCUAUACAACUUCUCCCAAAAGUAAAUGCUUUUUCUUACUUAAAUAUUUAGUCCUGGUAAGAACUAGUGCUAAAUAACAUAAUUUGGAGUUAUAAAUAUUUGUCAUUUUUGAGUCAUGGAGGCAAUAUUGUAAAGCAGGAAUACAACCGUGGAACUAUACUAACCAUUCAGGUAGUGUUUGAAAGAUGUGACUUCGCGGGAGAAAGUGAUGUACAUAAAUAUUGUCAUUGUGCCCUUAGUUAAUAAUUAUAUUCUUUUGCCAAAAAAAAUGCAUGCUUUUAAAAAUAUGAACUAAGGUUUCAGAAAGUUUAUCUUGUUAAGUGGGUUUAAAAUCAUGUUGUGCCUGGAGAUAACAUAACGUACACAUUCAACAUAAUCUCUUCUGGAUUCUAAAAUCUAGUUUCUGGUAUAUAGCUUAAAAUUUCAGAUUGGUGAAACAUUUCUAAUGCAUGGAAUUAAAUUUUCUGAAGCAUGAAUUUAACCUAGGCAAUUAUCUGAUCCAUUAAAAAAAUGUUUAUGUUGCCACAUCAGACUUAAGAUAAAUACCAUUUUUCAGACUCAAAAUAUGAGAAUAGUGAGUCAAGAUUAUUUGAAUUUCUCUGAUCUUUUUUCCCAGUCCCAAGCAUCAAUAUUUUUCAAACCAAAAGUGCAGCAGAAUAUCCUUGUUUUCAAAGGGAAAUAUACAUGUCUUUCUAUUAUUUUUGUGCAAGAAAACUGAAGUUAACUGCACUAGAUUCAGGGGUAUGCAAAUAAGAAGAGGUGUGGCAGCCUCUGAGGGGGGUUGGCCAGGUGCAGUGGGGAUAACUCAUAAUUGGGAGGUUUUACAACAACGGCACAAAACAGAGUCUAAAAGUAGUAGAACUGAACAGCUCUUUGAAAUGAUAGAAAUGAAAUUAUUCACCAAAGAGAUGAAAAAACAGGUGGAGACAACAUGCUAUUAGACAGAAACUAUACAUCUAAUUACUGGGAAAAGGGAAAUUUGAGCCCCCUAUAUUGACCCUUAAGUCUGGAAAGCCCACAUGAAACUGGCCAGUCUUCCUUCAAAAUAGUAGACUUAAUAAGGAAACAAAUUUUUAGCAAAGAUACAUGUGACUAUACGGUCAUGGACCAACCAAUAUGUAAUUAUCAUGUAUGUGAUGCUUCAUAAAUGCAGUUGUCAAAUUUUAUUACUUCUAAUUAAUUCUAUCUCAUAACAUGUGGCAGAAAACACAUAGAAAAUUCUCUUUUGCUCCAAAGUAAUGCCUGCCAACUUAUUUAUACCCACUCUUAUCCCUGGUAUAUUAUUAUCACCAAGCUCCUUUCAUACCUAGAUGGUAUGAGAUAGCUAAAAAAUGUUUUCAGCAAAUUAUUUAUUGAAGGUCUCACCUGAAGCUUCUCUUUAGUGAAGGUGGCAGGAGGAGAGGGGACUUGGGUAAGAACUUUGCCUCUAUUAAACUGUCUCUGCUUUUCUUCUCAGUUACCAGACAGCUCAGUAGCCGGGAGAGCAAGAUGAUGUAAGACAUGCAAAUUGGGUUUUUCCCAUUCUCAGAGCAAGGAGGGCAACCAAUGAGCCAGAGGUUACCACACCUUUGAAACCAAAUAGUACAUGGAAUUUAGGGCUAAGACAAACAAACAAACAAACAUUGUAAAGCAUGAGCAACAUCAUCUUUCCUGUUGGUUCUUUCCUUGGUUUUUAUUGAAUUCUUUUUACAGUUUAGAUCAGAAGUUUCUAGUAAUGAUAAGUAAUGCCAUUUUAUGUUAUAGCUUCAAUGCAGAAAUGGUGAAAACAUGAGUCACAAACAAAACUACCAGGAAUACAGACUUUGUCUGUAGUGACACCUUACCUAGCAAAUUGGAAACAAAUACUACUUAAUAUUCUGAUUUCAUUAAUAACAUCUAGUUUAAAAAAAAAAAAGAGCAUUUUGCUCAGCAUUAAACCAUUGCACAAUAUAAAACUGCUUCCAAAUGGCAAGGAUUUUUGCUACUGACAUUUGUUCUUCAUUCUGCAGUUAUUUUAAGUAACUAAUUUUCACAUCUAACUACCUCAGCUACCGUUCUUUUAUUUAGAAAUAUGAAAUCAUGCACUUUGUAACCAAUAAGUUUUUCAUUUAAAAUUUCAAAAGGAUACUCGGUGCAAAGCAAUUUUCAAAAAUUUGUAUAUGAUAUAAGAAACCCAACCUCAGGAGGUUGUUCUUAAUUUUGUUUGUUUCUAAGUUCGAUUGGGGUAAAAUCUCGUUUCCACGUAACACGAAGAGAAGCUGCUCUAUAUUUGCUUAAUUUGCCUUAAAAAUUUUGUGCUCCUCUCCCUGUUCAAUUUUUUUUGUUUGUUCUAAAUCUAUCUCUGAAAAGAAAAUGUAACAGGUGGCAGAUGAACAUCAAACAAGAGAAUGGACCAAUCAUUUCUCAGUUCCCUGUUUUCAACUCUGCAUGACAUUCUGAUUGUGCAAAAUUGCCAUUCCUGUGCUUCUCUCUCCCAUGACCAUUCCAGAAGGUCUGAGAGACCGAACGUGUGUGUUUAGGGAACGGUGUAGACAUUUCCCCCAGUACGAGCACAGUGCCUGGACCCGAAUGAUAACCUUGGCAUUUCUUGUGCUUUUACUUUGUAAACAUUGUACAAAUGUAUUUGGAAUUUUAUUUGAAAUGAAGAAUUAAACUAGUUAUUAAUUUUUUUCUUUCCUGUAAAUAUAUAUAUUCAAACUCCAUGUAUCCAAACAUUCCUUUAGCGUUCGGAUUGUAAGAGUGUCUUUAUUGGCUGGAGGCCGCCGUCUCAGGCCAUGGUCCCAUGUGCUCUAGUUGAAAGCACAGUGUGUGGAGUAUUUGAUGUACUAUACUACCAUAGUUAUUUUGGUCUGUUAAGUAAGUUGCAAUUUGUGAUGAAAUGAAGUGGAAAGUAGUGCUUCAUAAUGAACAAAUUUCCUUGGUUACAUGAUUUUUUCUUGUAAAACUUUAAAAAAAAACUUGAAAUUUUAUAUAUUUGGAUUUUGUAGAUUUUUUUUUUAUUUUAUUGCAACACAAGGUACCAAAAUCAUUAAAUAAAGUACACUGUGGUCAU